AACGAACGCUGGCGGCAUGCCUAACACAUGCAAGUCGAACGAGACCUUCGGGUCUAGUGGCGCACGGGUGCGUAACGCGUGGGAACCUGCCUUUAGGUUCGGAAUAACUCAGAGAAAUUUGAGCUAAUACCGGAUAAUGUCUUCGGACCAAAGAUUUAUCGCCUUUAGAUGGGCCCGCGUAAGAUUAGCUAGUUGGUGGGGUAAAGCCUACCAAGGCGACGAUCUUUAGCUGGUCUGAGAGGAUGAUCAGCCACACUGGGACUGAGACACGGCCCAGACUCCUACGGGAGGCAGCAGUGGGGAAUAUUGGACAAUGGGCGAAAGCCUGAUCCAGCAAUGCCGCGUGAGUGAUGAAGGCCUUAGGGUUGUAAAGCUCUUUUACCCGAGAUGAUAAUGACAGUAUCGGGAGAAUAAGCUCCGGCUAACUCCGUGCCAGCAGCCGCG
rnacentral:rRNA from 1 species